rnacentral:rRNA from 1 species
UCACGAAAGUGGGCUGUACUAGAAAUCGCCGAGCCAACCGCAAGGAGGCAGGCGCUCAAGGUAUGACUCAUGAUUGGGGUG